rnacentral:lncRNA from 1 species
ACAAAUAAGAUUUUCUCAUUCUUAUAUGAAAAGAAACUUUAUUAUUUUACCACACUCAAUACACAUAGCAUCAUGUCAUUUACCAAACACUACCAACUUAAUUCACCACAACGCCUUCUCAGACUGUCAUCGCCUACUCAUGGCAAUCAUAACUCAAGCAGAUAGAAUCGAACGGUCGACAAACAGACCAAUGCGGCAACUCAUUCAUGCUCAUGGAACGCCUCUGGGCCUCAAAAAUGCAAUGCGAAAAACUCUCAGCAGUCAGCAUGCGGCUAAAUUGUGCUAACAAACAUGAUGCUAUCAUUGCACAGUUCGGCAUAUGGUUCGGUUCCCUAAAUCAGUAAAAUCACACAUUCUCGCAUCACCGCCUCCCCUAGAAGCACUUACAGAUGGAUAUAAACUAGGGAACAGAAAGAGCUCGCGGUCGAACCGACGAUGCUCCCCAUCCUCCAGACAACGUCACUUGGGUAACGCAGCACCGGGAAUUCACAACAUUCGCAGGUCAUUUUUGCAGAAGGCUCAAACUUUGUCGGAUGCGUCGAGAGACGUGCUCUCUGUACUCUUGACCGCAGCCAGCUUCUCAGCCAAUCUUUGCUCCAGUGCCCUUUGACCCCUUUCCCUGCAGUGAGAUCAACAGAACCAAGUGAGAUCGAGUACACUACUAGCACAUAUGCAUAUAUGCAUUUCUUGUGACUUGUUCUCGAGUACACUACUACUCCCUCCGUUCCAAAAUAUGUCUUUUUAGAGAUUCCAAUAUGGAAUACAUACGAAGCAAAAUGAGUGAAUCUACACUCUAAAAUAUGUCUAUAACAUCCGUAUGUAGUCCAUAUUGAAAUCUCUAGAAAGACUUCUAUUUAGAAACAGAGGGAGUGGCAUAUAUGCAUUUCUUGCAGCAACCGAAGCACCAAAUAGGGCUAUUAGUUACUGAACCAAAAGACCCAAAACUAAGAAUAUCGCAAUCAGUUCAAACGGAAUGGCGUAACAACAUAGAUUCCACAAGCUCACAAACUGCAUGCGCAAAGUAUAAAUAAUCCUAAAGGAGUGACUGUCUCAAAACAUAAAUCCAAUAUUCAUUUGAGCAUUGCCUAUGUGUGAUAAUUAACAAAGAUACAGAGGGGAAGUACUGAAGGGUUGCAAAGACUAGUUUGUGUGAGCAAGGGUUACUUGAGAACAAGUCACAAAAACUAACCUCCUCCUGUUUGCCUCAGUAGAAUCUGAACCCGGCAAUGAUGACGUUUCCAAUGUCUGACCCCGGUCUGCCCUAUCAGAUCUUCCACACAGAAGCCUAUGGAAUAUUGUGGCUAUUGGAUCCAGAACUGGUCUGCAUAUUUUUAAUAAAUUAAUCCAAAUAUGAAGGCUAUCAAAUCCAGAAUUUGGCUAUGUUUUUAUAAAUUAGUCAGGAAGUUCAACCGUAAACUAUCUUAGUAUUAUAUAAAGGGGAAGCCGUAAUACCUCAGAAUUGCAGGGAAGAAACUUGAGAAAGAGAACUCCUCGCUUGGAUCCCCUUUCAGGCCUGUCUCUAGCCUCUUUUGGAAGUAACGCAGGUAAAUCCAACUCAUAUAAAUGCCAAACAGUAUAACUGGGAGGUAAGAUACCAAGUCCUUCAUGAAGAAGCUUACAACAACGGAGAUCAGUGCAAUA